GACGAACGCUGGCGGCGUGCCUAAUACAUGCAAGUAGAACGCUGAAGAGAGGAGCUUACUCUUCUUGGAUGAGUUGCGAACGGGUGAGUAACGCGUAGGUAACCUGCCUUGUAGCGGGGGAUAACUAUUGGAAACGAUAGCUAAUACCGCAUAACAAUGGAUGACACAUGUCAUUUAUUUGAAAGGGGCAAUUGCUCCACUACAAGAUGGACCUGCGUUGUAUUAGCUAGUAGGUGAGGUAAUGGCUCACCUAGGCGACGAUACAUAGCCGACCUGAGAGGGUGAUCGGCCACACUGGGACUGAGACACGGCCCAGACUCCUACGGGAGGCAGCAGUAGGGAAUCUUCGGCAAUGGGGGCAACCCUGACCGAGCAACGCCGCGUGAGUGAAGAGGGUUUUCGGAUCGUAAAGCUCUGUUGUAAGUCAAGAACGGGUGUGAGAGUGGAAAGUUCACACUGUGACGGUAGCUUACCAGAAAGGGACGGCUAACUACGUG
rnacentral:rRNA from 1 species